GGGCCCGUAGCUCAGCUGGUUAGAGCGCUACUCUGAUAAAGUAGAGGUCGAUGGUUCGAAUCCGUCCGGGCCCACCA
rnacentral:tRNA from 1 species